rnacentral:misc_RNA from 1 species
ACAUUGCAAAAUUCUGCCUACAUCAUUUGCUUUUGGUGUUAAUUUAUGUCCUACUUGGUUUCACUUGAAUGUUGCACACUUGCACUUAACCUUACUUUUGUCUUACCAUCUUAUAGAUAUUUCAGCCUAUGCGAACUCAAAUCUUCAUGCUAACUAUAUGAGCCCUCUUUAAAGUUCAUGAAGUUCUAAUUCCUUAUAUUUGUAUGUUCUUUGGUUUGUGACCAUUUUUUCCCAAGUGUUUGAUCUAAAAAAUUUUUGCAGAUGAAUUAAUUGGAAGGCUGUUUGACAAGACUAUGUCUUCCAUAAAUAUAUUGACAUAUAGGAUGUAAUUUUCAUGGGCAAGUAAACAUGAUGCCACUAGCAUGUGAAACAAAGUGCUCUCAUUUAUAUAAGGCACAAUGAGUUGGAGAGCAUAUGGAGCAUUCUGUCAUAAGGCAGGGAAAAGGAGUAAUUCUGUCAAGGUAUUCAGUGCAUUGUCAUGGAGU